rnacentral:lncRNA from 1 species
UGUCCUCCCUUUAAUAGAGGCUGAAACCUCUCUACAAAUGAACGGUACCUGGAAUGACCGUCCUCAAGAUCAAUAAUCUAGGCAUGGACCCAACAAAACCUUCUGAUAUUCUACCCUUCUUGAUGCCCCACACAGCAUGAAAUUUUGGAGAAUCUCAUCUAACUUAUUAUCUUAAGCACAAAUAAAUGCAUUGUUGUUCAUUGCCU